UGGCAGUUAGCCUAGAGACCUUGAAUUCUUGUAGCUUGUGUGUAAUCCUGAUUUGUGAACCUGGCAGAGAAGAUGUGUGUGUUGUCCAGGGAAAGCUGGAGAAGUCUGUUCCUAUGCAUGAGCUGGCUCUGGACAUCAGGGAGAAGAGUUUUGGACCCAAACACCCCAGUAUGGCCACAGCAUUGGUCAACCUGGCUAUACUCUGCUGCUAAGUGCUGAGAGGACCAAAAACGCUAACAGUUCACUGCAUACCAGUCACGGGUUCAAAUACUUGAAAAAUCCUUUCAAAUACUUGAGUUUGCCAGGAAUGCCAGAUGUACGGGGUUUGCAGUUUUGGGUCUUGUAUUGGUUUAUUAAGACAGGCAAGCUCAAACAGGCACAGAUAAGGUGUUUGAAAUGAUUUUUCACAUUAAACCCAGGUCUGAUGCAUGCAUAUUAGGGAAAGAUGGGAACUGUUGGAAAGCAUACAGCAUACAGCAUGUGUAUGGUUUGAUUUGAUUCCCCAGGUUAAUUGGACUUCAAAUGGAAAUUCAGACUGUUUCUCCUGGAUUCUGUCUGGACAUUGGUCUGACUGUGUGUUAUUGUGUGUCUGACAGAGAAAGCACAGUGAGACGCUGCCCCUGUAUAAACAGGCUAUGAGAGUGUGUGAGGACAAUCUGGGACGCUCACACCCACAGGUCGGAGAGACGCUGAAGAACCUAGCUGUACUCAGCUAUGUGGAGGAAAGCAGCAGAGCUCAACAAUCCAUGGAGAUCAAAGAGGCAGAGCAGUCUCUGGUUUGUGGAAGGCCCCGUGUCGACACUCGUCCAGUGGGGACAUGUUUAGCCUGCGAGGGCCCACACCUCUCCCACAUGCCCCCAGAAAUGCAUUGGUGGAGAAGGUCAGAGGGAGGGAACUUGCAUAUUCUCCUCGAAUGCAUUUUCAGGAGGUGGAAAGGAUAGAGGACAUGAAGAAUCAAGGAAGUACAAUUGAAGGCCAUCCAUGGUUCACAAUCUGCAUUCCUGAGAAGAACAACGACCAUCACACUCUGAAUAGUUCGUUAUGCUGCUUUGAGAUGGAACAGUGUAGUGGUGUCGCCUGUCAAGAGUACUGUAGCUAACUUAUAAAAUAAGAAUUAUGCUUUAAUGUCUAUUCAAUGGCUAUAUUGUUAAGUGUUCAAAAAAUAAAUAUAUAUUAUAAAUGUAUGAUGUAACGUCUGCUUCCAGCUCACACUCUCAAACACAUAGAUCCCCUGAGCACAGCUCACUCUCCAGAUCCCAAUCACCGGAAUUCUGAUCACCUGUUCACACACCUGUAUGUCAUUAUCACAUACUAUUUAGUUCAGUUCUUUGCACCCAAUCAUUGUAGGUAUUGUUUGUUUUGUGACACAUGUCUAGCCUGGAGCGUUGGGUUUCCUGUAAUCUACUCCUCCCAUGUAUGAUUUUUUUUUUUGUCUCACUAACAACACCUAUUCCCUGCCUGUACUUUCCUGUUAUCAACCUAUUGCCUGAUCUCCUGGAUGAUGUUAAUAGCCUUUUCCCUGCCUUUACUGUUGCCUUUUUGGACCCCCUGUGUAUGACCCGCUGCCUGACCCUGGACCCAGCUACCUGCCUCCUCCUGUGGUCCUUUACAAU
rnacentral:lncRNA from 1 species